CCUGGAAGAGAGCAGACCUGCAAACCCCAGCCUGGGCAGAGCAGAGCAGAGGGAAAGCCAAAAUCUGUAAGAUGUCUGUCUGUUUAGGGGAGAGAUUCCCUGAUCAAUAGCAUUGCUGUCGCUGAACAAAAGAGACUUCCUAAUGAGAAGAGGAAAUUGGAACCUUUUGAAAUGUCGCCAUUCUGCAACGUGCGUAUGGGACGGAGCAGAAAUCCCAGCCUAAGCACUUCUGAAUGGCGUCUGAUGCCAAGACGUACAGCACAUGUCCACCAAAAGUGACAGAAGUCAACUGGGCUUUUGCAGAAGACAGACAGGAAAUUUAAUUAGAGAUUGUCUUAGAUCCUGCCUUUGCCCACCUGUGCAUCUGAGUUCUCGGGUUUUUCAGCAUUUGUACCUAUUUUUAAUCUAUUUCCUUGUAUAUAUUUUCACUAGUGACUAAUGCCCAGAGUUUACUUCAACAUCUCUAGAAAAACUUGUCCUUAAUGUAGCCCUGUGGCCUGAAGCCCUAGGAUAUUACACUGCAAUUAGACACCUGCAGCUGGCCCCUGCCAGCUGCCUCUGGCUUGAGGGGUUCAGGUUGCAGAGCUGUUUAAUUGUGGUCUAGAUGUUCUGGCUUGGGCUGUAGCCUGAACAAUGGGACCCUUUCACCUGCAAGGUCCUAGAGCCCGGGCUCCAGACAUCUAUGCUGCUAUUAAACAGCCCAUUAGUCUGACCCUGCAAGCUCAAAUCAGCUGGCAUGGGCCAGCCAGGGGUGUUUAAUUGCAGUGUAGACGUACCCUAAGAGAGUAAAGUGUCACCGCUGUUGGUGGAAUGGGAUAAGUGUGGCCCAGAGCUGCUUAAGAAACUUUAGGUGGGCAGGGGCUUCCUGGGGAAAGGAGCUCUCUGCCAGCAGCUCUUGGAGAGUGAAGAGAAUUGCCUGAAUGGGCCAGACCUCAUUUGCAUUUCAGUUUUAUGUGGCAUUUUGAGGUAUUGGGUUUGGGACAUUUUGGUUAAAAUUCAAUUCAGUUUUGAAUUUCGGAGCAAUAAAAGGAAGUACAAGAGAAGUACAAGGACUUGGCAUGAACAUCAGCUCUGGGUGGGGUCACUGUGACUGUGCCUGCUGCCAGACCCAGUUCGGUAAGGGGCCCUGGACAGAGCUGAAGGAGCAGGAGAGACGGGAAAGAAAAAAACCCAAAGGUUCCUGCCUUCUGCUGAGGGUAUCUUCCUGGUGGUGAGGACUCUAUAAGGGGACUAGAUACCACUGGUCCCUCUCUAAAGAGCUGAGACCGUUGCAGAAGAGUGGACAGUGCAGAACAGAGGAUGGUUGGAGGUGAUGGUUGGCACAGAGGGUGGCAGCAGCUGUGAGCCAUCAGGCAGCACAGAGCAGCAGUUGGGAUGGUGCAGAGUGGUGGCAUCUGGAGCCGCGCUGAGGCAGUUUGGGCUGAAGCUGCAGACGGAGCAAUAGCUACCUAAGGGGCGCGGUGCCAGCCCCUCUACCCAGCAAUUAAAGCUGAAAUCACUCCAGCUGGCUCAGGGGUUAGAGCCUCCAGAGCAGCCCUGGCCUGCCAGUAUUCUUGGAGUCCUCUGAUCCAGGAUAGUGAAUGGAAUGGGAAGCUGGGAAGGAAGUAGAAGCUAGAAUGCACCAGGCACUCAUUGUGGCCAUGAGGACUGAGGUUGGGACUAUGAUUAUGGCCCCCUGAGGGAUGAGAGUCUUACCUCAUAGAAUUUGUUGAUGUAUUAAUUGCUGUUUUUUCCAAAUGCAUUUUUGUAUCCCCCCCCCCAGCCUUUUUGCUGCCAUCAAUACCUGUCAGAAGGGUUAUGUUACCAUUCAACUCGUGGAAUGAACACGGAGAUAUUCAUAUUUGUUCCAGAACGUUUGGGAGAGUUUUCAUUUCAGUUGAGUGCUUGUUUUAAGAUACUUGUACUUUUGACAAACUAUUGGCAAGUGAGUACAGCCCUUAAUGGAGAAGCCCUGAACCAGAAGUUCCCUUUGUCAUUUGAAAAUCAAGAGGGCCAGUCCCUGAAAUACCCCUUCCUGUCACCCCUAUGAGCCUCAAACUUUGGUUUUGGAUAAGUGGGAGCUGAGUCUGAACCAGGUUUGACUUUUACUUUUGAAAGCCGGGGUAUGUUGUAAACCCUGUUAAAAUGACAAGCUUUUACUUUAGGUUGAAGAGUAUCCUACUCCUGUGUGCGGGCUAAGGGACUCUCUAGGGAAGUGUGCCAUCUGGGUCCAGUCAGUCUGGAAAGAGCCAGCCUUGAGAAAACUGGGUUGAGUUGUGUCUCUCUCCCUUAGGGAGCAGCCUGUUUUGUGUGU